CUGAUGUAUUACCUCCUGGAUUAUCUCGGUUCCCUCCACCCCCGCCUCCAACAGAUAUGCGACCACCACCUGGAAUUGCCAUCCAGCCUGCUCCUCCUGGAAUGAUGGUCCCUCUCUUGCCAAGACCACCUUUUGGACCUCCACUAAUGAUGAGACCACCGCUUCCACCUGGUCCCCCUCCUUUUCAACAGGAUGGUACUAGACUACUUGCUCCUCAGAAGCCAUCAUAUGUCAAAUCAGCUGCUUCAACAGUUGUUAAGAGGCCUCUAGCUCAGCAUACACCAGAACUUACAUCAAUGGUGAGUGAUCUUCUUUUAUUUUUUUACCUAGUUGUUGUCCUCCUGCAUUUAUUUACAACUACUGUUAAGUGUACUUUGGUGUCAUUUCAAUGCAAAACUAAUAUAUUAUACUGGAGUGUUUUCCCCAUCCAAAUUGGAUGAUAACGAGGGGAUUAUGGGCAAGUUCAAAUCCUUGUCCAAAGUUUGCCAGGAGGGUUAAGCACUGUAUAGNCUGCUUCAAUCUGCAGGACCGAGAAUACCAUCGUCUAGUGGUGCUGCAUCAUCAUCAAAGUCAGAUGUGGAAGAUGGCACUUUAUCAGCUCUUCCACCCCCACCACCGCCACCUCCAUUGCCCCCAACUGGUGAUGCAGAUACUGUAGAUGGAUCUGCGGUCCCUGCAUCCUUAUCUUUACCUCCUCCACCACCUAUGCCCCCUAAGCCUGCAGUGACAGACAUGGGCGCUUCAUUGCCAUUACCUCCUUUGCCCCCACCACCUCCUGGUCCCCCACCAAAGGAACAGAUAUCUGGUCAUCUUCCACUUCCUCCACCUCCUCCUCGACCUCUUCAUCAAUCUGUCCAACCUCCUCAUUCUGGCAUAGGUGGAAAUGAAAGGGAUAAAAAUCAUUCUGAACUGGAUGAGAGGUCCACAACAGAACAAAAUCAGGUAUGCUACUUAUUAGUAAGAUUUCUUUCUGGGACAUUUGGAGAAGUGGUUUAUUUGUGGUUUCUAGUCCUUGGCCCUUAAGUUACUCACAAUCUUGUUAAUUUUUCAGGCCUCAUCCAUGCUUCCCCCACCACCUCCUCCACCAGGGUUGCCACUGAAGUCAGAUGGCAUGCCUGCUGACUCUGAUGCUAAAGUUUUGGAAACAAUAGAUCAUCUUAAAUUACCUCCACCACCUCCACGACCACAGCCUUCAGGUCCUGGACCUGCCAUGGCCCCAACUUUUCAACCUGAUGUAUUACCUCCUGGAUUAUCUCGGUUCCCUCCACCCCCGCCUCCAACAGAUAUGCGACCACCACCUGGAAUUGCCAUCCAGCCUGCUCCUCCUGGAAUGAUGGUCCCUCUCUUGCCAAGACCACCUUUUGGACCUCCACUAAUGAUGAGACCACCGCUUCCACCUGGUCCCCCUCCUUUUCAACAGGAUGGUACUAGACUACUUGCUCCUCAGAAGCCAUCAUAUGUCAAAUCAGCUGCUUCAACAGUUGUUAAGAGGCCUCUAGCUCAGCAUACACCAGAACUUACAUCAAUG
rnacentral:lncRNA from 1 species